rfam:Myotis davidii contig45381, whole genome shotgun sequence.
GGCAGUUCUCAGGUGACGCACCCCAGAAUCGGAAUCAGCUCCCUCCUCUCUGGUUCCAGGUGCAUCACCCAAGAACCGAC